CAAUGGCCCAGAAGUAGUAUAUUAUAAUGAGGAUGAUGGAGGGUCUAGAAAAUGUUCAACAAUGUACGUACGGUCUGAUGCGACGACAAACUGUAGUUCCGAGAACUGCGGGCUGCAAAAGUUUACAAAAUAAAAUCACUUGCACUGCAUACAGUGCGAUCUCUUCUUCCAUUUUUGACAUCUGACUUAGUUCAGAAGUAUAGCAAGGCUAUAGCAGCUCAUACAGAGCCUACACAGAGCCUGAAAAUGUCAUCUGACCAAAGAACAGUAUACAUAGCGCUGGAAAUGUCAUACGACCGAUGAACAGUAUACAUAGCGCGAAGCCGAUUUACCGAUUUAUUCUCAAGUGUUACACAAAACGAUGCGACAAAUUACGUACGCAUCAUGCUGUGGCUCCCCAAAACUCUGCGAUGUCCUUCCUCAUGAUCUACCACGACCAUCCCAAGCCCGGGAUAUCAGGUCUGUCCAGAAAAAUAAAAUCACUGUGCACCGCACCUUCAAACUAUUCAUAAUUUAGCUUUCAAUUCGCCCACCAUCUCGGUUUUUGGGUUGUUCUGGAUUGGACUUACGACGCGGAGUCGCACAUUGACUUUAUCUCUCUUCAUCCCCUCGUACAGCGUCAAGAUUUCAUCGUACAUCUUCUCUGCAGAACCUGCAGACUUUGACCCCAUGUCGAGCAAGGUGAGAGAAUGAGCCAGGGGUUGCAAGGGCGGGCGAGAAGUAGGGGUUGGUUUUGUUGGGGAAAUGACGAGUAUGGGAGGGGAUGUAGGAUGUUGCUGGGUCGAUGACGUAGUCCUGAAGUCAAGUAUGAGCACCGAUAAAACAAGGAGGAAAGAAACCCUACGGUGUAGCGAUUGGCUUUGAUACUAGGAAAUGAGCUAGUCAAAUCGCACCAUACCUACUGUAAACUCGUACCCAUGAGAGAAAGAAAAGGAAAAAUACUUUGAGG
rnacentral:sRNA from 1 species